GCGUGCAGUAUUAAAGACGAUCGGACCUCUCUGUCUGCCGCGCGAGACACUCUCGUGUGGGCUGGGCGCCCGGUGCUACCCUAGCUUUCACUACAGCUCUCAACACUCUACAAGAUCUGCCUAAUUCGGCAGAGCUCUCAGAUCUAGGCAAGUAUGUAGCGGGCAGGGGUCCCGCUGACUGGUCGGAGCCGGUGUUAGUCAGAAUGGCUCUCGGCGAAGCUCAGAAGGAUGACGGCAUGCAGGACAUGCUACGCCUGCACCUGGAGACCUUGCUGCAGUAUUCAGAGUUCUCCUCCGCGGAGGACUGCGCCCAGCUCAGCAUGGCGGGAGCCGCCAGCAAAUCCAGGUUGUUAUCAG